GAAAGUGCUACUUAACCCCUCCAGCAUCUGGCACUUGUUUCAGACUGGGAUUUAUGAGAGCAUGGCUCUGCUCUGUUUCCUUACAUGCUUACCGCUCUCCCAGUCUUCAGUUGCAGUUCAGGAUAAAAGUUGGGCAAAGUGAAGAGAGGCAACUUCUGGGUGGCUUUAAGCUUUCUGGUUCUAGAGGAAUGUUAAAGCUGGCAGCUUUUUUUUUUUUUUUUGGUACUGGAGAUCGAACUCAGGUCUUUGCACUCAUGCAACAGGCGGUGAAACCACUGAGCUAAAUCCCCAGCCCCAAAGCUGACAGCUCUUGAUGGAUGAGUCAUACAGAUGAGAACAGAUGACCUCAUAGUUGUUGCUAUAGACUGUGGUAUACCUCCAAAAUUCUGUGUUGAAACCUAAUCCCCAAGGUGAUAGUAUUUAGAGGUGAUGCCUUGAGAAGUCAUUAGAUUUAGAUGAGAUGAUAAAGGCAGAGCUCCCAUAAGUGGAUUAGGGGUGGUAUAAAAAAUAAGGAGCUCAGAGUGCCUCCAACUCCGCUGCCAUGUGAGCAUACAGUGUGAAGAUGACCAUAUGCAUGCCAGGGAGCUGGCCCUCCCUAAUCAUCCAAAGAAUCUGAUCAACCAGGCACCUAGCUUUUAGAUCAAGGGUUGGAAACCCUCCAAAACUAUGAGAAAUAAGUGUCUAUUGUAUAAGUCAUCCAGUCUGUGGUAGUUUGUUACGGAUGCCUGAACUGAUUAAAUGGUUGAUUUAGGGAUCUUUGAAUGUCCUCUUUGGCUAAUCUCUCUCAUAGUUCUCUUAUUCCUAGUAGAUCCAUUUCUACUACUGGAUCAUGAGAGUAUGGGCUCAGCUCCUACUCACAAGAUAAACAUGCUAAAACUGGGAUCACUUUGUGUCCCCCAGAAGUCCAAGAUAGACCUCCAAAUAUCAAAGCUCUUUGAUGUAGCUGAGGGACCCAAGACAUUGAACAGGAUCUCACAGUCAUGUCCAGCGUAA
rnacentral:lncRNA from 1 species